rnacentral:rRNA from 1 species
AGUGAACGCUGGCGGUAGGCCUAACACAUGCAAGUCGAACGGCAGCACAGUAAGAGCUUGCUCUUACGGGUGGCGAGUGGCGGACGGGUGAGGAAUACAUCGGAAUCUACUUUUUCGUGGGGGAUAACGUAGGGAAACUUACGCUAAUACCGCAUACGACCUACGGGUGAAAGCAGGGGAUCUUCGGACCUUGCGCGAUUGAAUGAGCCGAUGUCGGAUUAGCUAGUUGGCGGGGUAAAGGCCCACCAAGGCGACGAUCCGUAGCUGGUCUGAGAGGAUGAUCAGCCACACUGGAACUGAGACACGGUCCAGACUCCUAAGGGAGGCAGCAGUGGGGAAUAUUGGACAAUGGGCGCAAGACUGAUCCAGCCAUACCGCGUGGGUGAAGAAGGCCUUCGGGUUGUAAAGCCCUUUUGUUGGGAAAGAAAAGCAGCAGGUUAAUACCCCGCUGUUCUGACGGUACCCAAAGAAUAAGCACCGGCUAACUUCGUG